GGGCGUAAGGGUGUGUAGGCGGUAUAUCAAGUCUGUUGUUAAAUCUCUCAGCCUAACUGGGAAAAUGCAGCGGAAACUGAUGUGCUAGAGGAUGGAAGAGAGAAGUGGAAUUCUCGGAGUAGCGGUAAAAUGCGUAGAUCUCGAGAGGAACACCGAUGGCGAAGGCAGCUUCUUGGUCCAUUCCUGACGCUGAUACACGAAAGCGUGGGGAGCAAACAGGAUUAGAUACCCUGGUAGUCCACGCUGUAAACGAUGAUCACUUGAUGUUGGCUCUGCUUUGCGGAGUCAGUGUCGUAGCUAACGCGUUAAGUGAUCCGCCUGGGGACUACGGUCGCAAGACUAAAACUCAAAAGAAUUGACGGGGGUCCGCACAAGCGGUGGAACAUGUGGUUUAAUUCGACACUACGCGAGGAACCUUACCUAGGCUUGACAUACACCUGACAGUCGUAGAAACACGAUCUUCUAAACUUUGUUUAGACAGGUGAACAGGUGCUGCAUGGCUGUCGUCAGCUCGUGUCGUGAGAUGUCUGGUUAAGUCCUCUAACGAGCGCAACUCUUGCCAUCAGUUGCUACCAUUUUAUGGGCACUCUGAUGGGACUGCCUGGGAAACCAGGAGGAAGGUGGGAAUGACGUCAAGUCCUCAUGGCCCUUAUGUCUAGGGCGACACACGUGUUACAAUGGCCAGUACAAAGGGUUGCCAACUCGUAAGAGUGAGCUAAUCCCACAAAACUGGUCUAAGUUCGGAUUGAGUCUGCAACUCGACCUCAUGAAGUUGAAAUCGCUAGUAUCGCAUAUCAGACGAUGCGGUGAUACGUUCUCGGCUUGUACUCACCGCC
rnacentral:rRNA from 1 species